GGCAGUUCUCAGGUGACGCACCCCAGAAUCGGAAUCGGACUCCCUCCUCUCUGGUUCCAGCUGCGUCACCCAAGAACCGAC
rfam:Myotis lucifugus cont2.5497, whole genome shotgun sequence.